GAUGAACGCUGGCGGCGUGCCUAAUACAUGCAAGUCGAGCGAACAGACGAGGAGCUUGCUCCUUCGACGUUAGCGGCGGACGGGUGAGUAACACGUAGGUAACCUACCUAUAAGACUGGGAUAACUUCGGGAAACCGGAGCUAAUACGGGAUAAUCUUUCGCACCGCCUGGUUCGAUAGUGAAAGAAGGCUUUGCUGUCACUUAUAGAUGGACCUGCGGCGUAUUAGCUAGUUGGUAAGGUGGCGGCAUACCACGGCGACGAUAGGUAGCCGACCUGAGGGGGUGGACGGUUAGAGUGGGACUGCGACACAGACCAGACUACUACGGGACGCAGCGGUGGGGAAUAUUGCAGACUGGGCGCAAGCCUGAUGCAGCGACGCGGCGUGAGGGAUGGAGGCCUUCGGGUUGUAAACCUCUUUGGCCAGUGAAGCAGGCCUGCUACUUGUGGGUGGGUUGACGGUAGCUGGAUAAGAAGCGCCGGCUAACUACGUG
rnacentral:rRNA from 1 species